UACCACUGCCGUCCACGUCGUGGUCCGGCGCAGACGUCGCGUCCAGGACACUGACCGCAUUAACUCUCCGGAAAACGAAGCCCCGUUUCUCCUGCACGUACGGGCUCAUCAAAGAGCUUGAUGUGAUGUGAUGCGAUCCAUGCCGCCGGCGCCGGAGCGUGGAUGGUCGCAAUCCCCGUGGAGCAGUACAUGUCUGUUCACGGUCACCACGGCUCUAACGUGCACGGCAGCGGCAGUACCGCAAUUAUCAAUGGGCUUGUCCGUGCAUUGCAUGCAUGCACCGCCCGCCCGGCCGCAGGCGUGCCGCACCGCACGACGGGCGCUUCGCUGCCGACCGAGAUCGUUAUCAUCAAUCGCCGCCGCGGGCGACGAAAAGUGGCGCGAUCUGCGCCGAAACUACGACCGGCAAAUGAUAAGGGUCGUUGCCAGACAGCUCAUCCCGGAACCCAACAAAAUGAGUAGAUCGGUCAGCCUUUAAACACCGAACCGCGGCAGUCUGGUUUUUCAGUUGUAACAAUAAUGGCCGAGGUCGGCAUCAGCUGGCACCUACUAAUUGUACUCGUAGUAGUAAUAGCAGAGGAGGUAAAGGCAAAGUGCAGCGAGAGAUCCGGCGCUGAUGGCGACGUGGCGUGCGCGCCGGCGGCGACCCACCACACACAACACGAGCACGACGGCGCGGCGUGGUGGCAGCGAAGCGAAGCACGGGUCGACCGAAUCAUUGGCAGCCGACACCGACCGGUCACCCAGCCAGUUCGCCAGCGCACGGCAGGGCACGACACGUCGCUCUCCCGGCAUGUCGGCGCGGCUCAACGUGCGUCCUGCCGUGCCCCCUCCCGUGCCCCGGGGAGUAGAGGACAGGCGGGGCUCACACAAAAAAAAGGUUGCUGUUUGUUUAAGCAAGAAAAAAGGGGAGGGGGAGGGGACGGGGCGAUCUGCUUCGGUUCCGGCGAAGAUAUUGCUGCGGUGUAGUACGGCGGUGGCGAUCGGGAGCAGCUGACUUUUCGGUGGGUGUGCGUAUCGUGUGCCUGCCCGAAUCGCUACUGCGACGACAUGGCGUGUGUUCGGAGGAGCGGAACAGCGGUAGCACAGCGACGAGUCAAUCGGCGAGGGAUCCUAUGUAGCUAUCGAGUUGAUUGUGGCAUGUAGGGACGUUGGGGGAGGUGGGCGACGGAGAUUCGCUUGCUUGCUCGCUCUGUACGUGCGGGCGCACAUGGCACGUCCGUCGGCCGUGCACCGCGGCUACAGCCUACGUAGACCUGUGGAUAGGGCUGAAGUCUGAAACAAACCCUGUGUUUGUACGUACAGUCGCAAAUGACUCUCCACCUCUAAAUCCGUGAAAUCCAUGCCCUGAACUCUCUAAUCCCUAAUUUUUAAUCCUUGUGUGCCUAUCCAAACGCCGGGAUUCCUACAUGGCUCGGGAAAGGCUGGGAACAGGCUGAUUCAACAAGUGCAGGUGGGGUCUCAGACCAUUACCUGGUCAAGCCGGACCAGCUCGCGGGCCCCCUCUUCUACUCCGCCUCUUCCUCUUCCUCUGCCCCGGUGCGCCUCUGUUCCUCUUCCUCUGCGGCAACGACGAUGACAAGCUGAUGAUCGCGGCGACCGUCGGCAACAACUCCGGCACCAAAUAGAAAGGUACGCCUGGUCUAUCCCCCUCUCCAAUCGCAGGUGUUUUCUUCGUUUCAAACUUGGUUAGGUUUAAGUUUUUAAUGGUGAAGGUGCAGUUAUUGUAGUUCGAAAUCAGUGUAUUUGUUGGUGAUUUUUGUUGUCCAGUAUAGUAAUCAGUUAUGAUGCUCGCAAUGUAGCUUUUUUUGUUGAAUCCAUGGACCCGACUCAGAUGUUGAACGUCAGAUUUCAUAUAGGGGGCAAUUUGUUCGAAUUGGUCCUUCUAUGGACUAUGUUGGAGGAGAUGUAGCCUACUCUGUGAUUGAGAGAGAUAAGUUGUCUUUGCAGGAGGUCAAAGGUUUCCUUGCAGAUCAUUUGACAGUUAAGGAAAGCAUGAAGUUUUAUUUUCUUAUGCCCGUCAGAGACUUGAUUAAUGGGUUGUUGUUUCCACAUGAUUAUGUUGGUUGCAUGAGUAUGUCAGAUCAUACAACAGAUGGUGGAGUUGCUGAUAUUUUUAUGGAGUACAAUGGGGAACACGAUGAAGGAGAGCAGGAAAGUGGUUCUGACUUUCAGGAUGAAAUUGAGGAACACAUGAACAGUGGAAGUGAAUAAGAUAUGCCUAGCAAGGAAGAAAAACAAUGAUAGAAGGAGGGAAGAGGGGGAAGCACCCAAAGGAAAGAAGCUUAGCAAGCAUGGAAUUCAAAUCACUUGUGGGCCAUGUGGGGGUAAGGGACACCACAGAGGAUCUUGUUUGCAGAAUGCUGAUAGGAACGAAAAAAUAAAGCUUUUCUUGCAAAGAGAGGGAAAAAACAAAGGUCCAUUGAGAGACUAAGGCUGCCAAAAGCAGGGCAGCUACAACUAGAUCUUCAAAACCUGCAAGCAGGACUCAGCAUGCAGCAACUACAAGCUCACAACCAGCCACCUCUAGCUUCAGACCUCCAAGAGCAACAUCAACUAGAAAUACACCUAUUGGAGGAAGUACAUGUGCUGGCAGAGGAUCAGGAACUACUGGAGGGAGUACACGUGCUGGAGGAAGUAGAUUUGCUGGCAGAGGAUCAGGAAAUGCUGGAGGGAGUACAUCUGCUGGAGGAAGUAGAUCUGCUGGCAGAGGUUCAGCAACAGGAUUCAUGGCCUAUUUCACAGCUUCUGGGAACUACUGAAGUUGUGUACCUCUGAAAUGUGGUUGUCGUGUGAACUACUGUUAUUUUGGAUGUGUGUGUGUUCUUGUGAACUACUGGUAUUUUGGAUGUGUGUGUGUUCGUGUGAA